rnacentral:SRP_RNA from 1 species
GCCAGGUACGGUGGCACAUGCCUGUGGUCCUAGCUACUCGGGAGGUUGAGGUGGGAGGAUCGCCUGAACCCAGGAGUUCUGGGCUGUAGUGCGCUAUGCCAGUCGGUGUCUGUACUAAGUUCAUCAUCAAUACGGUGACCUCCCGGGAAUGGGGCACCACCAGGUUGCCUAAGGAAGGAUGAACUGGCCCAAGUCAAAAAUGGAGUAGGUCAAAACUCCUGUGCUGAUCAGUAGUGGGAUCACGCCUCUGAAUAGCCACUAUACUCCAGCCUGGGCAACAUAUUGAGACCCUGUCUCA